rnacentral:snRNA from 1 species
GUGCUCGCUUCAGCAGCACAUAAAAUUGGAACGAUACAGAGAAGAUUAGCAUGGCCCCUGCGCAAGGAUGACAUAUUAAUUCGUGAAGUGUUCCAUAUUUUU